rnacentral:rRNA from 1 species
CAGCCGCCGCGGUAAUACGUAGGUGGCAAGCGUUGUCCGAGGUUACUGGGCGUAAAGAGCGCGUAGGCUGGUCUUUAAGUGAGUGGUGAAAGGUUCGGGCUCAACCCGGACACUGCCUUUCAUACUGGGGACCUUGAGUGUGGGAGAGGCGAGUGGAAUGGUCGGUGUAGCGGUGAAAUGCGUAGAUAUCGAUCGGAACACCCAUGGCGAAGGCAGCUCGCUGGCCUAACACUGACGCUGAGGCGCGAAAGCGUGGGGAGCAAACAGGAUUAGAUACCCGCGUAGUCCCUGUCUCUUAUAC